rnacentral:lncRNA from 1 species
CGCCGACUUCGGUCUGUGUUUACUCUUGCUUCUUGUUUUGCUUUUGCUCUUCGUCGUUUGUGUGCAUACAAACAUGUGCGUGUGUGUGCUGCUUCCCUUCUUUCUUUUUUGGUUUUUUGUUGUUGCCCACGAACCGGACUACGAAGCCGAAGCCGACGAUGCCAAAGCUUCGUCUCUUGUCAUCUUAUUCUUCUUGUGCCUGAGUGUGCGUGUGCGUGUGCGUGUGUUGUGUGCUUACAACAUAAUUUUAAUUUAUAGCGUCGGCAUUUCAAGUACAGUUGAGGUUGCAAAAGCAACAGGCGUCUGCUCGGAUAUGGUACGGGUUGAUGACUCAGGCACGGCGGCGCUGCGAGCACACAGCAGAAGGAUUGAAAGGCGUUUCCCAAAGCUCCCUCCGGCCGUCUCUCUCUCUCGCUCGCUCUCUCUGUCGCUCGCGUUUUGGAAACGAGAACCAAAACAAAAGCACAAAAAUAUUGUAUGCCGUAGCACACGUAUGUAAAGUACCGGCAAUCCAUUCAGCCAUUCAUGAUCUAAGAGACGCCACGCACCCCGCACCUAGGACCCGAACCAGAUCUCGAACCCGAGACCGAGAUCGAGGCUCUUUGCCUUUGCCUUUGCCUUAGCCUAUUCCUGUUUCUGUUUCUGUUUCUCCUCCAGACAAUGCGGAGAGGCAGGCAGACACAAAAACAUAGGACAACAGACAGGGUGUCGUCUCAGUGUGCUCCGAUUGAGAGAUUGACUAGAAACUUGAUGGAGCUGAGAAGUUCCACAGAAAGUGACCCAAAAGGGCCGGCUAGGGAACAACAACAGCUGUCGCUGUUGUGGAAACAAGUUUCCCAAGGCCCAGGCACCGACAGGCAUCCUUUUUGCGGGUCCCGUUCAUGCCACCAAAUGGCUCUCGGUUCCGAUUGGCGUUUAUUGCUUGCAGCGAUCGUUUCGUGCUUGCAACGGAACUCAAAUUAUGAUGGCCAAAUUACUCCGUUCGAUUGGACCAAUGCACAUGCGUGUCCGCUGGCCAUGCUGCCCCAUAUGGUUGCUGGUUAACCAUCAUCACCGUUCCUCCUGCUGCUGCUGCUGCUGGCACACGGUUUACAUCAAAGCCCCCCCUUCAAUCAUAAUCAUUAUGUAUGAAAUACAAUUGCCAAAAAUUAUGCUUGCAAAUUGUUUCAAUGGGAAUAUUACAUGGCUAAAAAGAUUAAGGCCAACUCUAGACUUUGGAAAACGAUGUAAGCGCUGAUUCGAGGUCUCCUUCUUUACGUUGAGUAUCGAGAUCAAGACAAAAAGAA